rnacentral:tRNA from 1 species
CGGGGCGUGGCGCAGUCUGGUAGCGCACCUGCUUUGGGAGCAGGGGGUCGCAGGUUCGAAUCCUGCCGCCCCGACCA